GAUAAAAUAUCCCGAAAUUAGCCUCCCUAGCUUUGAUGGAGACCUAACGCAGUGGCUGCAGUUUCGAGACACAUUUGAUGCUCUAGUCAAUCAAACUAGUUUGGCACCGAUCGUAAAAUAUAAAUACCUACGCAGUUGUUUACGAGACGGUGCACUCGAGGUAAUUAGUUCGCUCGAUUUCUCCGAGGAAGGGUACACGCUCGCAUGGCAGAUGCUUUGUGAACGUUAUAACAAUCCUAAACGUUUAGUUUCCAACCACAUGCGAGCCUUGUUCGACGUGGAACCGGUACCGUCAACUCCUUCGGGUCUUAGAGGAUUUCAAAAACUUUCUAAAGAACCGAGCUGACCGGCUGGAAGCGACCAGCCCAGCAGUACCAUCGGACGCACCCAGCACUUCCAAGAAGGCCAUGGUAACCACGUCCGAACCUAUUAAGGGCUCGAGUCGGCUAAUUUCCUGGCGGCGCUGCGACGUUUCAUAG